UUUUGGUUCGGAAUAACUCAGGGAAACUUGUGCUAAUACCGAAUGUGCCCUUCGGGGGAAAGAUUUAUCGCCAUUAGAGCGGCCCGCGUCUGAUUAGCUAGUUGGUGAGGUAAAGGCUCACCAAGGCGACGAUCAGUAGCUGGUCUGAGAGGGUGAUCAGCCUAAUUGGGACUGAGACACGGCCCAAACUCCUACGGGAGGCAGCAGUGGGGAAUCUUGCGCAAUGGGCGAAAGCCUGACGCAGCCAUGCCGCGUGAAUGAUGAAGGUCUUAGGAUUGUAAAAUUCUUUCACCGGGGACGAUAAUGACGGUACCCGGAGAAGAAGCCCCGGCUAACUUCGUGCCAG
rnacentral:rRNA from 1 species